rnacentral:tRNA from 3 species
GCGGGAAUAGCUCAGCUGGUAGAGCGCAACCUUGCCAAGGUUGAGGUCGCGAGUUCGAAUCUCGUUUCCCGCU